AGCGAACGCUGGCGGCAGGCCUAACACAUGCAAGUCGAACGAACCUUUCGGGGUUAGUGGCGGACGGGUGAGUAACACGUGGGAACGUGCCUUUAGGUUCGGAAUAACUCAGUGAAACUUGUGCUAAUACCGAAUGUGCCCUUCGGGGGAAAGAUUUAUCGCCUUUAGAGCGGCCCGCGUCUGAUUAGCUAGUUGGUUGAGGUAAUGGCUCACCAAGGCGACGAUCAGUAGCUGGUCUGAGAGGAUGAUCAGCCACAUUGGGACUGAGACACGGCCCAAACUCCUACGGGAGGCAGCAGUGGGGAAUCUUGCGCAAUGGGCGAAAGCCUGACGCAGCCAUGCCGCGUGAAUGAUGAAGGUCUUAGGAUUGUAAAAUUCUUUAACCGGGGACGAUAAUGACGGUACCCGGAGAAGAAGCCCCGGCUAACUUCGUG
rnacentral:rRNA from 1 species